rnacentral:rRNA from 1 species
GACGAACGCUGGCGGCGUGCUUAACACAUGCAAGUCGAACGGAAAGGCCCUGCUUUUGUGGGGUGCUCGAGUGACGAACGGGUGAGUAACACGUGAGUAACCUGCCCUUGACUUUGGGAUAACUUCAGGAAACUGGGGCUAAUACCGGAUAGGAGCUCCUGCUGCAUGGUGGGGGUUGGAAAGUUUCGGCGGUUGGGGAUGGACUCGCGGCUUAUCAGCUUGUUGGUGGGGUAGUGGCUUACCAAGGCUUUGACGGGUAGCCGGCCUGAGAGGGUGACCGGCCACAUUGGGACUGAGAUACGGCCCAGACUCCUACGGGAGGCAGCAGUGGGGAAUAUUGCACAAUGGGCGGAAGCCUGAUGCAGCAACGCCGCGUGCGGGAUGACGGCCUGCGGGUUGUAAACCGCUUUCGCCUGUGACGAAGCGUGAGUGACGGUAAUGGGUAAAGAAGCACCGGCUAACUACGUG